GGCCAGACUCCUACGGGAGGCAGCAGUGGGGAAUAUUGCACAAUGGGGGAAACCCUGAUGCAGCGACGCCGCGUGAGCGAUGAAGUAUUUCGGUAUGUAAAGCUCUAUCAGCAGGGAAGAAGAUGACGGUACCUGACUAAGAAGCCCCGGCUAACUACGUGCCAGCAGCCGCGGUAAUACGUAGGGGGCAAGCGUUAUCCGGAAUUACUGGGUGUAAAGGGUGAGUAGGCGGCAUGGUAAGCCAGAUGUGAAAGCCUUGGGCUUAACCCGAGGAUUGCAUUUGGAACUAUCAAGCUAGAGUACAGGAGAGGAAAGCGGAAUUCCUAGUGUAGCGGUGAAAUGCGUAGAUAUACGGAGGAACACCAGUGGCGAAGGCGGAUUGCUGGACAGUAACUGACGCUGAGGCGCGAAAGCGUGGGGAGCAAACAGGAUUAGAUACCCUGGUA
rnacentral:rRNA from 1 species